rnacentral:rRNA from 1 species
GUGCCUAAUACAUGCAAGUCGAACGCACAGCGAAAGGUGCUUGCACCUUUCAAGUGAGUGGCGAACGGGUGAGUAACACGUGGACAACCUGCCUCAAGGCUGGGGAUAACAUUUGGAAACAGAUGCUAAUACCGAAUAAAACUUAGUGUCGCAUGACACAAAGUUAAAAGGCGCUUCGGCGUCACCUAGAGAUGGAUCCGCGGUGCAUUAGUUAGUUGGUGGGGUAAAGGCCUACCAAGACAAUGAUGCAUAGCCGAGUUGAGAGACUGAUCGGCCACAUUGGGACUGAGACACGGCCCAAACUCCUACGGGAGGCUGCAGUAGGGAAUCUUCCACAAUGGGCGAAAGCCUGAUGGAGCAACGCCGCGUGUGUGAUGAAGGCUUUCGGGUCGUAAAGCACUGUUGUAUGGGAAGAACAGCUAGAAUAGGAAAUGAUUUUAGUUUGACGGUACCAUACCAGAAAGGGACGGCUAAAUACGUGCCAGCAGCCGCGGUAAUACGUAUGUCCCGAGCGUUAUCCGGAUUUAUUGGGCGUAAAGCGAGCGCAGACGGUUUAUUAAGUCUGAUGUGAAAGCCCGGAGCUCAACUCCGGAAUGGCAUUGGAAACUGGUUAACUUGAGUGCAGUAGAGGUAAGUGGAACUCCAUGUGUAGCGGUGGAAUGCGUAGAUAUAUGGAAGAACACCAGUGGCGAAGGCGGCUUACUGGACUGCAACUGACGUUGAGGCUCGAAAGUGUGGGUAGCAAACAGGAUUAGAUACCCUGGUAGUCACACCGUAAACGAUGAACACUAGUGUUAGGAGGUUUCCGCCUCUUAGUGCCGAAGCUAACGCAUUAAGUGUUCCGCCUGGGGAGUACGACCGCAAGGUUGAAACUCAAAGGAAUUGACGGGACCCCGCCACAAGCGGUGGAGCAUGUGGUUUAAUUCGAAGCAACGCGAAGAACCUUACCAGGUCUUGACAUCCUUUGAAGCUUUUAGAGAUAGAAGUGUUCUCUUCGGAGACAAAAAGUGAA